GAUUAAAGAGCUUGGUAUAAGCAUAUAAUUUUUAAUUGUAAGAAAUCUAUGAUUUUAAUCA
rnacentral:tRNA from 1 species